CAAAUAGCGUUGAUGAGAAGAGUAGGUAAGUACAAUCUUUUAAAGAGAGCUCCGGGUGCUGAAAAGGAGUAAAGUAGGACUUAUUGAAACAAGCCUCUGAGCUUCAUACGGAUCUCUUUAUCUAAAGAGUGAUGCUAUGACGUUUGUUCACGUUAAAGAACUAGGGUAUCUGUUUAUAACAAGUACCUGAAAAGGUUAAUAUGGUGACAUAUUAAUAAAAAUGGGUGGUACCACGAUGAUAACUCUCGUCCCUAAG
rnacentral:ncRNA from 1 species